rnacentral:rRNA from 1 species
GUCUUUGGCCGUCCGAGUUGUAAUCUAGAGAAGUAAUGCCCGUGCUGGACCGUGUAUAAGUCUCCUGGGAUGGGGCGUCAUAGAGGGUGAGAAUCCCGUCUUUGACACGGACUACCAGUGCAUUGUGGUAUGCUCUCAAAGAGUCGAGUUGUUUGGGAAUGCAGCUCAAAAUGGGUGGUAAAUUCCAUCUAAAGCUAAAUAUUGGCGAGAGACCGAUAGCGAACAAGUACCGUGAGGGAAAGAUGAAAAGAACUUUGGAAAGAGAGUUAAACAGUACGUGAAAUUGCUGAAAGGGAAACGCUUGAAGUCAGUCGCGUUGGCCAGGGAUCAGCCUUGCUUUUGCAUGGUGUACUUUCUGGUUGACGGGUCAGCAUCAAUUUUGACCGCUGGAAAAAGGCUUGGGGAAUGUGGCAGCAUUGGCUGUGUUAUAGCCCCUGGUCACAUACAGCGGUUGGGAUUGAGGAACUCAGCACGCCGCAAGGCCGGGUUUCGACCACGUUCGUGCUUAGGAUGCUGGCAUAAUGGCUUUAAGCGACCCGUCUUGAAACACGGACCAAGGAGUCUAACAUGCCUGCGAGUAUUUGGGUGGAAAACCCGAGUGCGCAAUGAAAGUGAAAGUUGAGAUCCCUGUCGUGGGGAGCAUCGACGCCCGGACCAGAACUUUUGCGACGGAUCCGCGGUGGAGCAUGUAUGUUGGGACCCGAAAGAUGGUGAACUAUGCCUGAAUAGGGUGAAGCCAGAGGAAACUCUGGUGGAGGCUCGUAGCGAUUCUGACGUGCAAAUCGAUCGUCAAAUUUGGGUA